UGUUAAAUUAAAUAUGAGUAUUGUGUUAAAUUUGUGAUGGAAUGGUUACCAUUAAAUUUUGUUUAAUGUUACUAGCCAAGAUGAUUUGUACCUAUUAAUGGGUAUAGAAUAUCAUAAAUUAUAAUUAGAUAAAUAAUUGUAAUGUAAUGGUUUGCAUUAAUGGAUAGAUAUAGAUUAUUCUACACUGAUUCAUUCUUUAGCUAAACUAACAGUAAUGAAAGUACUUUAUUGCUUAAUUUGUCUAUAUGGUUCAUUUGUAAAAUUAAUAUCGUUCGUCAGCAAUAUAGUUUGUUAUACUUAUAAAUCUUAUUGAAAGGGGAAGAUGUUGUAUGUAGGUAAUAUUGAAUAUUAAUGAUAAUGUGGGUACUUAGAGAAUUGGAGAUACUUUAUAAAAAUGUAAUGUCAUUUUGGUCAUUAUAAUAAAGAGUUAAAACACAACAAUAACAAAUGGCUAAUUACAGGUUUUUUAUCCCGUGUUUUCAAGGAAAAGAGCUUAAAAUACUUUGCAGCUAUCGGUAUGUAUAUAAACGGAAAAUUUGUAUCUUGGAUGGAUACAGCCUUGAUCGCCUUAACAAUGACGUCACGCUACAAAGGCAGGAAAGGGAAAUACGCAACUACGUGAGAAGAAACAUAUCAAAACAAGUAGCAUAUAAAGGCUUAAAUAAUUAGCUUCCCGAUAGGUAUCAUUUUCUAAAACAUCUAUGCAUCAGACUUUACAAAUGAACAUGGCUUAAAAUAGGGUUCCGCCGUUAUUUUCUAAAUUUAAAACAUCGAUACGCUGUGUCUCGAAUCAGUUCAGUGAUCCCGAGGUUUUAAGGGGUUGUCGUGAUGUGAUCUGGACAAUCAAAACUUCUUACGGACUGUCAGUGGUAGCUACAAGAUAAUAUUGAUUCUACAUAAUAUAUUGGGUGAAGCAUUAUAACGGUGUUUAAGACGUGGAGUUCAAGAACUUCAAGAUUUCAUCAACAGUCAGUCUGCACACGCCGAAUUUAUUAGUAUAUUUGAAUUAGAAAUUUGAUUUUGAACUUAUAAGAUUUCAAAGUCUCUGUUUCAAAAUAUUAUUAUAAAUAUAUAAAUAAUUUAAAAUGAGUUCGUCAAUAAUUAAUAUAACAUUGUAAUAUUGCUGCGUGUAUUGUCCACUCAAAAUGUAUUAAUGAGGAAUUGAUACUGUCAUUUUUGUUCUGUUAUUUUGUUUGUAAAUAAAGUAUUACAUAAAGUUAUUUGAAAGCAUGUAUGAAGAUGAAAACUAGUUAAAAAUUGA